GAUGAACGCUGGCGGCGUGCUUAACACAUGCAAGUCGAACGAAGCACUUUGAUCGAUUUCUUCGGAUUGAAAUUUUAGUGACUGAGUGGCGGACGGGUGAGUAACGCGUGGGUAACCUGCCUCACACAGGGGGAUAACAGUUGGAAACGGCUGCUAAUACCGCAUAAGCGCACAGUACCGCAUGGUACAGUGUGAAAAACUCCGGUGGUGUGAGAUGGACCCGCGUCUGAUUAGCUAGUUGGCAGGGCAACGGCCUACCAAGGCGACGAUCAGUAGCCGACCUGAGAGGGUGACCGGCCACAUUGGGACUGAGACACGGCCCAAACCCCUACGGGAGGCAGCAGUGGGGAAUAUUGCACAAUGGGGGAAACCCUGAUGCAGCGACGCCGCGUGAGCGAAGAAGUAUUUCGGUAUGUAAAGCUCUAUCAGCAGGGAAGAAGAAAUGACGGUACCUGACUAAGAAGCACCGGCUA
rnacentral:rRNA from 1 species